rnacentral:rRNA from 1 species
GACGAACGCUGGCGGCGUGCUUAACACAUGCAAGUCGAACGGAAAGGCCCCUUUGGGGGUACUCGAGUGGCGAACGGGUGAGUAACACGUGAGUAACCUGCCCUUGACUUCGGGAUAACUUCAGGAAACUGGGGCUAAUACCGGAUAGGAAUCCUUGCUGCAUGGUGGGGGUUGGAAAGCUUCGGCGGUUUUGGAUGGACUCGCGGCUUAUCAGCUUGUUGGUGGGGUAGUGGCUUACCAAGGCUUUGACGGGUAGCCGGCCUGAGAGGGCGACCGGCCACAUUGGGACUGAGAUACGGCCCAGACGCCUACGGGAGGCAGCAGUGGGGAAUAGUGCACAAUGGGCGGAAGCCUGAUGCAGCAACGCCGCGUGCGGGAUGACGGCCUUCGGGUUGUAAACCGCUUUCAGCAGGGGCGAAGCUUGUGGUGACGGUACCUGCAGAAGAAGCACCGGCUAACUACGUG